CCUACGGGGGGCAGCAGUGGGGAAUAUUGCACAAUGGGGGAAACCCUGAUGCAGCGACGCCGCGUGAGUGAAGAAGUAUUUCGGUAUGUAAAGCUCUAUCAGCAGGGAAGAAAAUGACGGUACCUGAUUAAGAAGCUCCGGCUAACUACGUGCAAGCAGCCGCGGUAAUACGGAGGGGGCAAGCGUUAUCCGGAUUUACUGGGUGUAAGGGGAGCGUAGACGGCAGGACAAGUCUGGAGUGAAAUGCCGGGGCUUAACCCCGGAACUGCUGUGGAAACUGUGCAGCUAGAGUGCAGGAGAGGUAAGUGGAAUUCGUAGUGUAGCGGUGAAAUGCGUAGAUAUUAGGAGGAACACCAGUGGCGAAGGCGGCUUACUGGACUGUAACUGACGUUGAGGCUCGAAAGCGUGGGGAGCAAACAGGAUUAGAUACCCCGGUAGUC
rnacentral:rRNA from 1 species